UUACGGCCAUAUCACGUUGAAACACCGGUUCCUGUACGAUCACCGAAGUUAAGCAACGUCGAUCAUGGUCAAUACCUAGACGGGUGACCGCUUGGUAAUACUAGGUACUGUAAG
rnacentral:rRNA from 1 species